UCGAACGGCAGCGCGGGAGCAAUCCUGGCGGCGAGUGGCGAACGGGUGAGUAAUACAUCGGAACGUGCCCAAUCGUGGGGGAUAACGCAGCGAAAGCUGUGCUAAUACCGCAUACGAUCUACGGAUGAAAGCAGGGGAUCGCAAGACCUUGCGCGAAUGGAGCGGCCGAUGGCAGAUUAGGUAGUUGGUGAGGUAAAGGCUCACCAAGCCUUCGAUCUGUAGCUGGUCUGAGAGGACGACCAGCCACACUGGGACUGAGACACGGCCCAGACUCCUACGGGAGGCAGCAGUGGGGAAUUUUGGACAAUGGGCGAAAGCCUGAUCCAGCCAUGCCGCGUGCAGGAUGAAGGCCUUCGGGUUGUAAACUGCUUUUGUACGGAACGAAACGGCCUUUUCUAAUAAAGAGGGCUAAUGACGGUACCGUAAGAAUAAGCACCGGCUAACUACGUGCCAGCAGCCGCGGUAAUACGUAGGGUGCAAGCGUUAAUCGGAAUUACUGGGCGUAAAGCGUGCGCAGGCGGUUAUGUAAGACAGUUGUGAAAUCCCCGGGCUCAACCUGGGAACUGCAUCUGUGACUGCAUAGCUAGAGUACGGUAGAGGGGGAUGGAAUUCCGCGUGUAGCAGUGAAAUGCGUAGAUAUGCGGAGGAACACCGAUGGCGAAGGCAAUCCCCUGGACCUGUACUGACGCUCAUGCACGAAAGCGUGGGGGAGCAAACAGGAUUAGAUACCCUGGUAGUCCACGCCCUA
rnacentral:rRNA from 1 species